GGGGAAUUUUGGACAAUGGACGCAAGUCUGAUCCAGCCAUUCCGCGUGCAGGAUGAAGGCCCUCGGGUUGUAAACUGCUUUUGUACGGAACGAAAAGGUCUCUAUUAAUACUGGGGGCUCAUGACGGUACCGUAAGAAUAAGCACCGGCUAACUACGUGCCAGCAGCCGCGGUAAUACGUAGGGUGCAAGCGUUAAUCGGAAUUACUGGGCGUAAAGCGUGCGCAGGCGGUUAUAUAAGACAGAUGUGAAAUCCCCGGGCUCAACCUGGGAACUGCAUUUGUGACUGUAUAGCUAGAGUACGGUAGAGGGGGAUGGAAUUCCGCGUGUAGCAGUGAAAUGCGUAGAUAUGCGGAGGAACACCGAUGGCGAAGGCAAUCCCCUGGACCUGUACUGACGCUCAUGCACGAAAGCGUGGGGAGCAAAC
rnacentral:rRNA from 1 species